GGACUCGUUGCACAGUCUGGAUAGUGCGAGCGGCUUCGAACCGCUAGGUCGAGGGAUCGAAGCCCUCCGAGCCCU
rfam:Candidatus Nitrosoarchaeum koreensis MY1, whole genome shotgun sequence.